rnacentral:rRNA from 1 species
GACGAACGCUGGCGGCGUGCCUAACACAUGCAAGUCGAACGGAGAUACGAUUUCGGUUGUAUCUUAGUGGCGAACGGGUGAGUAACGCGUGAGCAACCUGACCUUUAGAGGGGGAUAACACUUGGAAACAGGUGCUAAUACCGCAUAAGACCACGACCUGACAUCAGGAUGAGGUCAAAGGAGCAAUCCGCUAAAGGAGGGGCUCGCAUCCCAUUAGAUAGAUGGCGGGGUAACGGCCCACCAUGUCGACGAUGGGUAGCCGAGCUGAGAGGCUGAUCGGCCACACUGGAACUGAGACACGGUCCAGACUCCUACGGGAGGCAGCAGUGGGGAAUAUUGGGCAAUGGGCGCAAGCCUGACCCAGCAACGCCGCGUGAGGGAAGAAGGCCUUCGGGUUGUAAACCUCUGUCCUUGGUGACGAAACAAAUGACGGUAGCCAAGGAGGAAGCCCGGCGUAACUACGUAGCCAGCAGCCGCGGUAA